rnacentral:rRNA from 1 species
UACGGAGGGUGCAAGCGUUAUCCGGAUUCACUGGGUUUAAAGGGUGCGUAGGUGGGCCUGUAAGUCAGUGGUGAAAUCUCCGGGCUUAACCCGGAAACUGCCAUUGAUACUAUAGGUCUUGAAUUUUCUGGAGGUCAGCGGAAUAUGUCAUGUAGCGGUGAAAUGCUUAGAUAUGACAUAGAACACCAAUUGCGAAGGCAGCUGGCUACAGGAACAUUGACACUGAGGCACGAAAGCGUGGGGAUCAAACAGG